GGCCACGUGGAGGAAUUGGUAGACUCGCCAUCUUGAGGGGGUGGUGCUCACAAGGCGUAUGGGUUCGAGUCCCAUCGUGGUCACGA
rnacentral:tRNA from 1 species